rnacentral:rRNA from 1 species
UACGUAGGUGGCAAGCGUUGUCCGGAAUUAUUGGGCGUAAAGCGCGCGCAGGCGGCCUUUUAAGUCUGAUGUGAAAUCUUGCGGCUCAACCGCAAGCGGCCAUUGGAAACUGGGAGGCUUGAGUACAGAAGAGGAGAGUGGAAUUCCACGUGUAGCGGUGAAGUGCGUAGAUAUGUGGAGGAACACCAGUGGCGAAGGCGACUCUCUGGUCUGUAACUGACGCUGAGGCGCGAAAGCGUGGGGAGCAAACAGG